AUGUUCAUCUUUUGUAUUUGAUGAUUAGUAAUGUAAAGAAAAGAAUGUAAAGCUUAUUUUGAGGUAAAUGUGAUGUAAGAAAGAAGUGAUGAAAUUAUGUAAUGAAAUGCAAAGAAUCCUAAAUGUAAGAGAUGGAUGCAAUGUAUAUGAUCUAAAAUGAAUCAUAUUACUUGUGAAUGUUUAGUUUCCUUUUUCUUUCACUAAUGGCUACUGCUUACCUUCGUG
rnacentral:lncRNA from 1 species